rnacentral:rRNA from 1 species
GUUUGAUCCUGGCUCAGAUUGAACGCUGGCGGCAUGCUUUACACAUGCAAGUCGGACGGCAGCACAGAGAAGCUUGCUUCUUGGGUGGCGAGUGGCGAACGGGUGAGUAACAUAUCGGAACGUACCGAGUAGUGGGGGAUAACUGAUCGAAAGAUCAGCUAAUACCGCAUACGUCUUGAGAGGGAAAGCAGGGGACCUUCGGGCCUUGCGCUAUUCGAGCGGCCGAUAUCUGAUUAGCUAGUUGGUGGGGUAAAGGCCUACCAAGGCGACGAUCAGUAGCGGGUCUGAGAGGAUGAUCCGCCACACUGGGACUGAGACACGGCCCAGACUCCUACGGGAGGCAGCAGUGGGGAAUUUUGGACAAUGGGCGCAAGCCUGAUCCAGCCAUGCCGCGUGUCUGAAGAAGGCCUUCGGGUUGUAAAGGACUUUUGUCAGGGAAGAAAAGGCUGUUGCUAAUAUCAGCGGCUGAUGACGGUACCUGAAGAAUAAGCACCGGCUAACUACGUGCCAGCAGCCGCGGUAAUACGUAGGGUGCGAGCGUUAAUCGGAAUUACUGGGCGUAAAGCGAGCGCAGACGGUUACUUAAGCAGGAUGUGAAAUCCCCGGGCUCAACCUGGGAACUGCGUUCUGAACUGGGUGACUAGAGUGUGUCAGAGGGAGGUAGAAUUCCACGUGUAGCAGUGAAAUGCGUAGAGAUGUGGAGGAAUACCGAUGGCGAAGGCAGCCUCCUGGGAUAACACUGACGUUCAUGCUCGAAAGCGUGGGUAGCAAACAGG